rnacentral:pre_miRNA from 1 species
GAUGUACUCCCUCCGUUCGGAAAUACUUGUCAUCAAAAUGGAUGUAUCUAGAACUAAAAUACAUAUAGAUACAUCCAUUUCAAUGACAAGUAUUUCCGGACGGAAGGAGUAUAUG